GGGCCUGCGGGGAUGGCUCAG
rnacentral:misc_RNA from 1 species